rnacentral:ncRNA from 1 species
CAAAGGCUUGGUCCUGACUUUACUGUCAACUCUAACUAAACUUACACAUGCAAGUAUCCGCCCCCCUGUGAGAAUGCCCCACAGUUCCCCCUCCGGGAACAAGGAGCUGGUAUCAGGCACACCCUUCUGUAGCCCAUGACACCUUGCUUAGCCACACCCUCAAGGGAAUUCAGCAGUGAUAGACAUUAAGCCAUAAGUGAAAACUUGACUUAGUUAAAGCCACAAAGGGCCGGUAAAACUCGUGCCAGCCACCGCGGUUAUACGAGAGGCCCAAGUUGAUAGACACCGGCGUAAAGAGUGGUUUGGGACCACCCUAAAACUAAAGUCGAACACCUUCAGAACUGUUAUACGUUUACCGAAGGUAAGAAGCCCCACCACGAAAGUGACUUUAUCUUCCCCGACCCCACGAAAGCUGUGAAACAAACUGGGAUUAGAUACCCCACUAUGCCCAGCCCUAAACUUUGAUAGCGCCCUACACCCGCUAUCCGCCCGGGAACUACGAGCAUUAGCUUGAAACCCAAAGGACUUGGCGGUGCUUUAGAUCCACCUAGAGGAGCCUGUUCUAAAACCGAUAACCCCCGUUAAACCUCACCCUCUCUUGCUUUUCCCGCCUAUAUACCGCCGUCGUCAGCUUACCCUGUGAAGGGUUUAUAGUAAGCAGAAUUAGUACAACUCAAAACGUCAGGUCGAGGUGUAGCAUAUGAGAGGGGAAGAAAUGGGCUACAUUCCCUACCCCAGGGAAUACGAACAAUGCAAUGAAACGUGUAUUAGAAGGAGGAUUUAGUAGUAAGCAGAAAACAGAGUGUUCUACUGAAACUGGCCCUGAAGCGCGCACACACCGCCCGUCACUCUCCCCAAGCCACAACUCUACAAUAAAUAAUAAACUAAACCGGCAAAGGGGAGGCAAGUCGUAACAUGGUAAGUGUACCGGAAGGUGCACUUGGAAAAAC